rnacentral:rRNA from 1 species
GACGAACGCUGGCGGCGUGCCUAAUACAUGCAAGUUGAGCGCUGAAGGUUGGUACUUGUACCAACUGGAUGAGCAGCGAACGGGUGAGUAACGCGUGGGGCAUCUGCCUUUGAGCGGGGGACAACAUUUGGAAACGAAUGCUAAUACCGCAUAAAAACUUGAAACACAAGCUUCAAGCGAGAAAGGUGCAAUUGCAUCACACAAAGACGAAUCCGCGUUGUAUUAGCUAGUUGGUGAGGUAAAGGCUCACCAAGGCGAUGAUACAUAGCCGACCUGGGAGGGUGCUCGGCCACAUUGGGACUGGGACACGGCCCAAACUCCUACGGGAAGCAGCAGUAGGGGAUCAUCGGCAAUGGACGGAAGGCUGACCGAGCAACGCCGCGGGAGUGAAGAAGGUUUUCGGGUCGGAAAACUCUGUUGGUAGAGAAGAAAGUUGGUGAGAGUGGAAAGCUCAUCAAGUGACGGUAACUACCCAGAAAGGGACGGCUAACUACGUG